rnacentral:rRNA from 1 species
AUUGAACGCUGGCGGCAGGCCUAACACAUGCAAGUCGAGCGGGGUUUUCGGACCUAGCGGCGGACGGGUGAGUAAUGCGUAGGAAGCUACCCGAUAGAGGGGGAUACCAGUUGGAAACGACUGUUAAUACCGCAUAAUGUCUACGGACCAAAGUGUGGGACCUUCGGGCCACAUGCUAUCGGAUGCGCCUACGUGGGAUUAGCUAGUUGGUGGGGUAAUGGCUCCCCAAGGCGACGAUCCCUAGCUGGUUUGAGAGGAUGAUCCGCCACACUGGAACUGAGACACGGUCCAGACUCCUACGGGAGGCAGCAGUGGGGAAUAUUGGACAAUGGGCGCAAGCCUGAUCCAGCCAUGCCGCGUGUGUGAAGAAGGCCUUCGGGUUGUAAAGCACUUUCCGUAGGGAGGAAGCGUUGUGUGUUAAUAGUACACAGCGUUGACGUUACCUACAGAAGAAGCACCGGCUAACUCUGUGCCAGCAGCCGCCGUAAAAC